UACAGGGGGUGCAAACGUUGCUCGGAAUUUAUUGGGCGUAAAGCGCGCGUAGGCGGCCACUUAAGUCGGAUGUGAAAGCCCCUGGCUCAACUGGGGAAGUGCACCCGAAACUGAAUGGCUUGAGUGCGAAAGAGGGUCGCGGAAUUCCCGGUGUAGAGGUGAAAUUCGUAGAUAUCGGGAGAACACCGGUGGCGAAGGCGGCGACCUGGGUCGAGCACUGACGCUGAGGCGCGAAAGCGUGGGGAGCAAACAGG
rnacentral:rRNA from 1 species